rnacentral:miRNA from 1 species
CACAACCUAGUAGGCUGUGUGUCCACUAAUACUGGAUGGUGGAUCACAACCUAGUGGGUUGUG